rnacentral:rRNA from 2 species
ACUAACAAGGAUUCCCCUAGUAACUGCGAGUGAAGCGGGAAAAGCUCAAAUUUAAAAUCUGGCAGUCUUUGGCUGUCCGAGUUGUAAUCUAGAGAAGUAUUAUCCGCGCUGGACCGUGUACAAGUCUCCUGGAAUGGGGCGUCAUAGAGGGUGAGAAUCCCGUCUUUGACACGGACUGCCAGGGCUUUGUGAUGUGCUCUCAAAGAGUCGAGUUGUUUGGGAAUGCAGCUCAAAAUGGGUGGUAAAUUCCAUCUAAAGCUAAAUAUUGGCGAGAGACCGAUAGCGAACAAGUACCGUGAGGGAAAGAUGAAAAGAACUUUGGAAAGAGAGUUAAACAGUACGUGAAAUUGCUGAAAGGGAAACGCUUGAAGUCAGUCGCGUUGGCCAGGGAUCAACCUUGCUUUUUUGCUUGGCUUACUUUCUGGUCGAUGGGUCAGCAUCAAUUUUGACUGGUGGAAAAAGUUCAAGGGAAUGUGGCAUCUUCGGAUGUGUUAUAGCCUUUGUUCGCAUACAUCAGUUGGGAUUGAGGAACUCAGCACGCCGCAAGGCCGGGUUUUUAACCACGUACGUGCUUAGGAUGCUGGCAUAAUGGCUUUAAUCGACCCGUCUUGAAACACGGACCAAGGAGUCUAACAUGCCUGCGAGUGUUUGGGUGAAAAACCCGAGCGCGUAAUGAAAGUGAAAGUUGAGAUCCCUGUCGCGGGGAGCAUUGACGCCCGGAUCUGACCUUUUGUGACGAUUCUGCGGUAGAGCAUGUAUGUUGGGACCCGAAAGAUGGUGAACUAUGCCUGAAUAGGGUGAAGCCAGAGGAAACUCUGGUGGAGGCUCGUAGCGAUUCUGACGUGCAAAUCGAUCGUCAAAUUUGGGUAUAGGGGCGAAAGACUAAUCGAACCAUC